CCCUUAGAUGUCCUGGGCUGCACGCGCGCUACACUGGGAGUUACGGAUUGAGAUACUACCUUGUCCGAAAUGGUCCGGGUAAUCACCUAAAAGCUUGUCAUAAUUGGAAUGGAUUAUUGUAACUAGUAAUCCUGAACGAGGAAUUCCUAGUAAGUCCCAGUCAACAGCUGGUACUGAUUACGUCCCUGCCCUUUGUACACACCGCCCGUCGCUACUACUGAUUGGACGUUUAAGCAAGAUUUUUAAACACUGACAGUGUGUAGUUCACGCUAUACUACAGUGAGAAGAAGAAGAUCGAGCUUACUUGUCUAGAGGAAGUAAAAGUCGUAACA
rnacentral:rRNA from 1 species